rnacentral:rRNA from 1 species
AGUGAACGCUGGCGGCAGGCCUAACACAUGCAAGUCGAACGGCAGCACAGAGGAGCUUGCUCCUUGGGUGGCGAGUGGCGGACGGGUGAGGAAUACAUCGGAAUCUGCCUAUUUGUGGGGGAUAACGUAGGGAAACUUACGCUAAUACCGCAUACGACCUACGGGUGAAAGCGGAGGACCUUCGGGCUUCGCGCAGAUAGAUGAGCCGGUGACGGGUGGGCUAGUCGGCGGGGUAAAGGCCCACCAAGGCGACGAUCCGUAGCCGGGUCGGAGGGGAUGAUCAGCCACACUGGAACUGAGACACGGUCCAGACUCCUACGGGAGGCAGCAGUGGGGAAUAUUGGACAAUGGGCGCAAGCCUGAUCCAGCCAUGCCGCGUGGGUGAAGAAGGCCUUCGGGUUGUAAAGCCCUUUUGUUGGGAAAGAAAAGCAGUCGGUUAAUACCCGAUUGUUCUGACGGUACCCAAAGAAUAAGCACCGGCUAACUUCGUGCCAGCAGCCGCCGUAA